AUUAGUUACAAGUCAUCUGAAUAAAAUGCAUCGGUUUGUGUUUCUUCUCCUGUUGAUUUUGUGUAUUGCUGUGUGUAUGGCCGUCAACUAUGAAGAUAGAUCAAAGACCUGUCAGGAGCAGUGUGCGGCAGAGGGAGUCCCAUCUGGCCCCAGCUCACCUUGCUAUAUAGUCUGCAUGGGAUGGUGAAGAAGUUUUCCAUAACAAACCGAAAUGUUAAAAAAUAAAAUCAUACUAGUC